rnacentral:tRNA from 1 species
CGGGGUGUGGCUCAGCUUGGUAGAGCACCUGCUUUGGGAGCAGGGGGUCGCAGGUUCAAAUCCUGUCACCCCGA